rnacentral:tRNA from 1 species
AAAUAAGAAACAAUUAUUGUGUUUAGUUUCGACCUAAAAUUUUGACUUAAAGUCCUUAUUUG